rnacentral:rRNA from 1 species
GACGAACGCUGGCGGCGUGCCUAACACAUGCAAGUCGUGCGAGAAAGUUCCUUCGGGAGCGAGUAAAGCGGCGCACGGGUGAGUAACACGUAGGUAACCUGCCCCCCAGUCUGGAACAACUAGAGGAAACUCUAGCUAAUGCCGGAUGAGACCACGAUCCCCUUCGGGGGUUGCGGCCAAAAGAUGGCCUCUACUUGUAAGCUAUCGCUGAGGGAUGGGCCUGCGGCCAUUAGCUUGUUGGUGAGGUAACGGCUCACCAAGGCUGUGAUGGCUAGCUGGUCUGAGAGGAUGACCAGCCACACUGGGACUGAGACACGGCCCAGACUCCUACGGAGCAGCAGUGGGAAUAUUGCGCAAUGGGCGAAAGCCUGACGCAGCGACGCCGCGUGGGUGA